rnacentral:rRNA from 1 species
AACGAACGCUGGCGGCAGGCUUAACACAUGCAAGUCGAACGCAUCCUUCGGGGUGAGUGGCAGACGGGUGAGUAACGCGUGGGAACGUGCCCUUCAGUUCGGGAUAACCCAGGGAAACUUGGGCUAAUACCGGAUACGUGCGAGAGCAGAAAGAUUUAUCGCUGAAGGAUCGGCCCGCGUCUGAUUAGCUAGUUGGUGGGGUAAUGGCCCACCAAGGCGACGAUCAGUAGCUGGUCUGAGAGGAUGAUCAGCCACAUUGGGACUGAGACACGGACCAAACUCCCAGGGGGGGAAGCGUGGGGGAAUUUUGGAAAAGGGGCGCAAGCCUGACCCAGCCAUGCGGCGGGAGUGAUGAAGGCUUUAGGGUUGAAAGGCUCUUUCGUCGGGGACGAUAAUGACGGUACCGGAAGAAGAAGCCCCGGCUAACUUCGGGCCAGCCGCCGCGGUAA